rnacentral:rRNA from 1 species
GGGGAAUUUUCCGCAAUGGGCGAAAGCCUGACGGAGCAAUACCGCGUGAGGGAGGAAGGCUCUUGGGUUGUAAACCUCUUUUCUCAGGGAAGAACACAAUGACGGUACCUGAGGAAUAAGCAUCGGCUAACUCCGUGCCAGCAGCCGCGGUAAUACGGAGGAUGCAAGCGUUAUCCGGAAUGAUUGGGCGUAAAGCGUUCGUAGGUGGUUUUUCAAGUCUGCUGUUAAAGCGCAGGGCUUAACUCUGUAACGGCGGUGGAAACUGAAAAGCUAGAGUGCGGUAGGGGUAGAGGGAAUUCCCGGUGUAGCGGUGAAAUGCGUAGAGAUCGGGAAGAACACCAGCAGCGAAAGCGCUCUACUGGGCCUGCACUGACACUGAGGGACGAAAGCUAGGGGAGCGAAUGGGAUUAGAUACCCCAGUAGUCCUAGCCGUAAACGAUGGAUACUAGGUGUUGCCUGUAUCGACCCGGGCAGUGCCGUAGCUAACGCGUUAAGUAUCCCGCCUGGGGAGUACGCGCGCAAGCGUGAAACUCAAAGGAAUUGACGGGGGCCCGCACAAGCGGUGGAGUAUGUGGUUUAAUUCGAUGCAACGCGAAGAACCUUACCAGGGCUUGACAUGUCGCGAACCUCAGGGAAACUUGAGGGUGCCUUCGGGAGCGCGAACACAGGUGGUGCAUGGCUGUCGUCAGCUCGUGUCGUGAGAUGUUGGGUUAAGUCCCGCAACGAGCGCAACCCUCGUCCUAAGUUGCCAGCAUUAAGUUGGGCACUCUGAGGAGACUGCCGGUGACAAACCGGAGGAAGGUGGGGAUGACGUCAAGUCAGCAUGCCCCUUACGUCCUGGGCUACACACGUACUACAAUGCUACGGACAAAGGGCAGCCAGACAGCAAUGUCGAGCAAAUCCCAUAAACCGUGGCACAGUUCAGAUUGCAGGCUGCAACUCGCCUGCAUGAAGGUGGAAUCGCUAGUAAUCGCAGGUCAGCAUACUGCGGUGAAUCCGUUCCCGGGCCUUGUACACACCGCCCGUCACACCAUGGAAGCUGGCUUAGCCCGAAGUCGUUACCCUAACCCGCAAGGGAGGGGGACGCCGAAGGCAGGGCUGGUGACUGGGGUGAAGUCGUAACAAGGUAACC